rnacentral:rRNA from 1 species
ACGUACGCUGGCGGCGUGCUUAACACAUGCAAGUUGAACGGAAAGGCCCUGCUUUUGUGGGGUGCUCGAGUGGCGAACGGGUGAGUAACACGUGAGUAACCUGCCCUUGACUUUGGGAUAACUUCAGGAAACUGGGGCUAAUACCGGAUAGGAGCUCCUGCUGCAUGGUGGGGGUUGGAAAGUUUCGGCGGUUGGGGAUGGACUCGCGGCUUAUCAGCUUGUUGGUGGGGUAGUGGCUUACCAAGGCUUUGACGGGUAGCCGGCCUGAGAGGGUGACCGGCCACAUUGGGACUGAGAUACGGCCCAGACUCCUACGGGAGGCAGCAGUGGGGAAUAUUGCACAAUGGGCGGAAGCCUGAUGCAGCAACGCCGCGUGCGGGAUGACGGCCUUCGGGUUGUAAACCGCUUUCGCCUGUGACGAAGCGUGAGUGACGGUAAUGGGUAAAGAAGCACCGGCUAACUACGUG